UACGUAGGGUGCGAGCGUUAAUCGGAAUUACUGGGCGUAAAGGGUGCGCAGGCGGAUAUGUAAGUUAGAUGUGAAAUCCCCGAGCUUAACUUGGGAACAGCAUUUAAGACUGCAUGUCUAGAGUUUGUCAGAGGGGGGUAGAAUUCCAAGUGUAGCAGUGAAAUGCGUAGAGAUUUGGAGGAAUACCGGUGGCGAAGGCGACCCCCUGGGAUAAAACUGACGCUCAUGCACGAAAGCGUGGGGAGCAAACAGG
rnacentral:rRNA from 1 species